CGCAAAGCAUUGAACAUGCUGAAGCAAAGAGAGGUCAACGGGUUCAACACUGCAGCAUGUAGUCCAUCGAAGAACCAGUUUGUGAAUUCAGAAUGUGGACACUGUUGCUGCCCAUUCCAUUGGAGCGUCUGCCUAGGUGGCUGUAAUGAUACUAAAGAGAGAGGUUUCCUUGAUGGAGCGUAGGGAGCUGAAAACAGGCUGAGCACAGAGGGCCUAAUAUGUACGCUUCUUGAGCCUGAAGACAAAUGCUCAGACACCCAACAGUUGGCUGCAAGCCCGUACCAUCCCACUCUUCAUAACUAAACAGCGCCAUCUCCACCAUCACUGUCUUUGCUGAAGUAUUUGACUUUGCUAAUAUUAAUAAACUCACAGCUCUUACUGGAUUACAACCAUCAGAAUGAC